CUCUCUGUAGCUCAGUUGGUUAGAGCGCUGCACAGGAAUCGCAGGGCACGCUAGGUUUGAUUCCUGCCAGAGGGC